CGCAUCUGUGCAUGCAGCAUAUCAAUAAGCGGAGGAAAAGAAACUAACAAGGAUUCCCUUAGUAACGGCGAGUGAAGCGGGAAGAGCUCAAAUUUGAAAUCUUCAAGGUUUUACCUUGACGAAUUGUAGUUUAAAGAAGUGUUUUCUGUUGAAGUUUUGGUAAAAGUUCUUUGGAAUAGGACAUCAUAGAGGGUGAGAAUCCCGUAUUUGACCAUUAUUUUCAGCUGUGUGAUACACUUUCAAAGAGUCGGAUUGUUUGGGAAUGCAGUCCAAAAUGGGUGGUAAAUUUCAUCUAAAGCUAAAUAUUGGCGAGAGACCGAUAGCGAACAAGUACCGUGAGGGAAAGAUGAAAAGAACUUUGAAAAGAGAGUUAAACAGUACGUGAAAUUGUCAAAAGGGAAGCGUUUGACACCAGUGUUGUUUUCUCGAAAAUCAAUUAAAAAGAGUUAGAUUUUGUUGUGUAUUGACCUUAACAGCUUGCAUUUCAAUUUUCUUGCUUUUUUUAAUGCACUUUUCGUUUAACAAGUCAACAUCAGUUUCUUUUGUUGUAAAAAGGUCAUUGGAAGGUGGCUUUCUUUUCGGAGAAAGUGUUUAUAGCCUUUGACUCCUGCAAUCGGAGAGACUGAGGUCUGCAGCGUAGAUCCUUCGGGGUUAGAUACAUUUGUGCUAAGUUAUAGCUUUUUAUAGACAACUUGUUGACUAUGAUUAGUCUUGUAGCUUACUCGCUUAUGCUAUUUUACCUACGCUUAGGAUGUUGAUGUGAUACUGCGAGCA
rnacentral:rRNA from 1 species